rnacentral:rRNA from 1 species
AUUGAACGCUGGCGGCAGGCCUAACACAUGCAAGUCGAGCGGACGAAGGGAGCUUGCUCCUGGAUUCAGCGGCGGACGGGUGAGUAAUGCCUAGGAAUCUGCCUGGUAGUUGGGGAUAACGUCCGUACACGGGCGCUAAUACCGCAUACGUCCUGAGGGAGAAAGGGGGGGAUCUUCGGACCUCACGCUAUCAGAUGAGCCUAGGUCGGAUUAGCUAGUUGGUGGGGUAAAGGCCUACCAAGGCGACGAUCCGUAACUGACCUGAGAGGAUGAUCAGUCACACUGGAACUGAGACACGGUCCAGACUCCUACGGGAGGCAGCAGUGGGGAAUAUUGGACAAUGGGCGAAAGCCUGAUGCAGCCAUGCCGCGUGAGUGAAGAAGGUCUUCGGAUUGUAAAACACUUUUAGUUGGGAGGAAGGGCAGUAAGUUAAUACCUGGCUGUUUUGACGUUACCAACAGAAAAAGCACCGGCUAACUUCGUG